CUGACGUUGGUGUCGGGGUGGCUUACUUUAUAAUAGCCCAACAAUCGUGACUCUGCAUUUUAUUCAGCUCAUUGUCGGACUGAAGUUUACAGCUCAUCAAAAGGCUUGUCCAAAAAGUCGCAGAAACAUGACUAACGUCUUCGUUGAAUAUUGUGCAGGAUGAGGUUAUUCCCGCCGCUUCCAGGAACUAGCCCGUGUCGUCGGGCAGGUUCCUGGUGUGAAGGUGACGGGAAAAACAGGGAGGCAAGGCAGCUUUGAGGUGUCAGUGAAUGAUAAGCUGGUCUACUCCAAGCUUAAGACGGGAUCCUUUCCUAAUCCUAAUGAGGUGGUGGAAUUGGUGAAGAAGAACAUGGGCCAAGGAGGAAAAGCUGGGAAGACCACUCAGUUUUAGAAGAUGGAGGCUAAAACAACAGCUGUAUUCACACUGUAAGAACAAUGGGUUUUUUUAUGGCUGCUUAUCUGAAUACAAAAGUAAAUUCAAACAUAAAAAAGAAAUUAAAACAUAAUUGUGGACCAAAAUCAAAAAUCCUUAAAGUCUCACCGUCAUACAUGAAAAGAUCUGACCAUAUAUCUUCACUGUGAAUACAGACAAAGAUGAGAUGAUGAGAGCAACGCUCAGGAGCCAGGCACUGAUCUGUUCUUCUGUUUAUGAAUGUACACACUUAAGAUGAUGCAGUGUGUACACGAUGCAAGUCUAGAAGCUUUUCAGCUGAUUGGAGCCUGAGGAACUACUUUCAUCAUGUCCGUCUGGCAUUUAAUCAUAAAUAAAAUGUCUUUACAGCUGCAUUUA